rnacentral:rRNA from 1 species
AACGAACGCUGGCGGCAGGCCUACAACUUGAAAUUCAAGGGGGCCCUUCGGGGUGGGGGCCGGCGGGGGAGUAACGGGGGGGAAACUUGCCCUUUUCUCGGGAUUGGCCUGGGGAAACGAGAAGAAUUACCUAAUAGGCCCUUGGGGGAAAGAUUUAUCGGAAAAGGAUCGGCCCGCGUUGGAUUAGGUAGUUGGUGGGGUAAUGGCCUACCAAGCCGACGAUCCAUAGCUGGUUUGAGAGGAUGAUCAGCCACACUGGGACUGAGAAACGGCCCAGACUCCUACGGGAGGCAGCAGUGGGGAAUCUUAGACAAUGGGGGCAACCCUGAUCUAGCCAUGCCGCGUGAGUGAUGAAGGCCUUAGGGUUGUAAAGCUCUUUCAGCUGGGAAGAUAAUGACGGUACCAGCAGAAGAAGCCCCGGCUAACUCCGUG